rnacentral:tRNA from 1 species
UGUACCUCAAUUGUAGAGUGUUUGCCUAGCAUGCAAGAGGCCCUGGGUUCUAUUUCCAGCA